GUGAAUCAUCAAAUUUUUGAACGCAAAUUGCACUCUCCGGUUUUCCGGGAAAGUAUGCCUGUUUGAGGGUCUGUUUAAAAAAUAAUCGAGGCUGCUGCUGUGGUGGCUCUUCGGAAUUGGGUCAUCUUUCACCUUUCGGUUGUAAGCGACCUAAAAUUUUUUUUACCAAUUCUACCAACGUUUUUAAGAAUUUUUUUUUCCUUUACGA
rnacentral:misc_RNA from 1 species